AGUGAACGCUGGCGGUAGGCCUAACACAUGCAAGUCGAACGGCAGCACAGUAAGAGCUUGCUCUUACGGGUGGCGAGUGGCGGACGGGUGAGGAAUACAUCGGAAUCUACUUUUUCGUGGGGGAUAACGUAGGGAAACUUACGCUAAUACCGCAUACGACCUACGGGUGAAAGCAGGGGAUCUUCGGACCUUGCGCGAUUGAAUGAGCCGAUGUCGGAUUAGCUAGUUGGCGGGGUAAAGGCCCACCAAGGCGACGAUCCGUAGCUGGUCUGAGAGGAUGAGCAGCCACACUGGAACUGAGACACGGUCCAGACUCCUACGGGAGGCAGCAGUGGGGAAUAUUGGACAAUGGGCGCAAGCCUGAUCCAGCCAUACCGCGUGGGUGAAGAAGGCCUUCGGGUUGUAAGGCCCUUUUGUUGGGAAAGAAAAGCAGCAGGUUAAUACCCCGCUGUUCUGACGGUACCCAAAGAAUAAGCACCGGCUAACUUCGUG
rnacentral:rRNA from 1 species